rnacentral:lncRNA from 1 species
UUCACGAUCAAAUGAUACGUUGUUACCAAGGAUGACAAUGUUUAUCAAGCAUAGAUCAUUGUGUGUCAUAUAGGUUGGUUGUCCUCUUAACCAAUGAGUGUGGAGACACUAGUAUGGCAUAUAGAUGAGAUGUAAGGGUACAUCUGCACUGAAUGUGACCGACUCCAAAGCUAUUUCUGCUGUCAAGAUUUGCUCCGAUAGAAUAUGAGUAUAAAUGUCCCUUCGACCUGAGACCGCCACGGUGACUUGCAAGCAACUCACUGCACUUAGACACUGGACUACCUGAAUUUUUAAUUCAGUGAUGGAAGGCUGCUGGGUGUAGUCAAGUACUUGACUUGUCGGUGC